rnacentral:antisense_RNA from 1 species
GGCUGUCAGCGAUCGAGGACCACAGUAUACCUGAUGCCCUCCCUCCUGACCUGUGAUUGGGAUUGAGCUGAAGAUAGUCACUGACGUGAUUCAAAGGAUUAGCACUUGGUACAGGAUGAACCGUUGUCCACAUUCUCUUCUCUGAGUCAAAGAGGAGGAAGAUCUGUCCAUCGAAACUGAACUGCCAAGAUCCGCUGCUGUGUCCUUCGGCUUUCUGCUCACAAGACAUCCUUGCCUGCAGGGUGAGGGGUUCUGCCCCCAUCAGAGAGAGAUCAGCUCUGGCCUUGACAGAUAUUGAGCCCCCAUCCUCUUCCACUUGCAAUUUCCUGGUCUUACUUGCUCUGCCACAUCCUGGCCUUGCCUCUAGACGUCUUGCGGGGUAAGAUGACCUUCCUAUUUGUAUUUUUACAUGAAAACUAUAAAUGUCUCUAACC